rnacentral:rRNA from 1 species
GACGAACGCUGGCGGCGUGCUUAACACAUGCAAGUCGAACGGUGAACGAGGGAGCUUGCUCCCUCCGGAUCAGUGGCGAACGGGUGAGUAACACGUGAGCAAUCUGCCCUGGACUCUGGGAUAAGCGUUGGAAACGACGUCUAAUACCGGAUACGAGACGCGAAGGCAUCUUCAGCGUCUGGAAAGAACUUCGGUCCAGGAUGAGCUCGCGGCCUAUCAGGUAGUUGGUGAGGUAACGGCUCACCAAGCCUACGACGGGUAGCCGGCCUGAGAGGGUGACCGGCCACACUGGGACUGAGACACGGCCCAGACUCCUACGGGAGGCAGCAGUGGGGAAUAUUGCACAAUGGGCGCAAGCCUGAUGCAGCAACGCCGCGUGAGGGACGACGGCCUUCGGGUUGUAAACCUCUUUUAGCAGGGAGGAAGCGAAAGUGACGGUACCUGCAGAAGAAGCACCGGCUAACUACGUGCCAGCAGCCGCCGAAACAC